CCUACGGGGGGCUGCAGUGGGGAAUAUUGGACAAUGGGCGCAAGCCUGAUCCAGCCAUGCCGCGUGAGUGAUGAAGGCCUUAGGGUUGUAAAGCUCUUUCGUCAGGGAAGAUAAUGACGGUACCUGAAGAAGAAGCCCCGGCUAACUUCGUGCCAGCAGCCGCGGUAAUACGAAGGGGGCUAGCGUUGCUCGGAAUCACUGGGCGUAAAGCGCACGUAGGCGGCUUUCUAAGUCAGGGGUGAAAUCCUGGAGCUCAACUGCGGAACUGCCUUUGAUACUGGAAAGCUUGAGUUCGGGAGAGGUGAGUGGAACUGCGAGUGUAGAGGUGAAAUUCGUAGAUAUUCGCAAGAACACCAGUGGCGAAGGCGGCUCACUGGCCCGAUACUGACGCUGAGGUGCGAAAGCGUGGGGAGCAAACAGGAUUAGAUACCCCGGUAGUC
rnacentral:rRNA from 1 species